GUGGGGAAUUUUGGACAAUGGGGGCAACCCUGAUCCAGCAAUGCCGCGUGAGUGAAGAAGGCCUUCGGGUUGUAAAGCUCUUUUGUCAGGGAAGAAACGGUUCUGGCUAAUACCCGGGGCUAAUGACGGUACCUGAAGAAUAAGCACCGGCUAACUACGUGCCAGCAGCCGCGGUAAAACAUAGGGGGCAAGCGUUGUCCGGAGUUACUGGGCGUAAAGGGCACGCAGGCGGUUGUGUCAGUUUGCGGGGACAGUGGGUGGCUUAACUACCCAAGGGUCGCAAAGACGGCACGACUGGAGAGCGAGAGAGGGACCUGGAACUCCGGGUGGAGCGGUGAAAUGCGUAGAGAUCCGGAAGAACACCACUGGCGCAGGCAAGGUCCUGGCUCGUAUCUGACGCUGAGGUGCGAAAGCUAGGGGAGCGAAC
rnacentral:rRNA from 1 species